GAUGAACGCUAGCUACAGGCCUAACACAUGCAAGUAGAGGGAGCGGCGCACGGGCGAGUAAGACGUAUCCAACCUGCCUUUUACUCGGGGAUAGCCUUUCGAAAGAAAGAUUAAUACCCGAUAUAAAGGAUGGGGAUGGGUUCCAUUAGGUUGUUGGUGAGGUAACGGCUCACCAAGCCUUCGAUGGAUAGGGGUUCGGAGAGGAAGGGCCCCGAAAUUGGAACUAAGACACGGUCCAAACUCCAACGGGAGGCAGGGGUGAGGAAUAUAGGGGAAGAGGCGCUAGCCAGAAACGGCCAAGUAGCGAGAAAGAUGAAGGGUUAUGAAGCGUAAUCUUCUUGUAUAUAAGAAUAGGUAUUAUAUGAAUAAGGAUCGGCUAACUACGUGCCAGCAGCCGCGGUAAUUC
rnacentral:rRNA from 1 species